AGAGUUUGAUUAUGGCUCAGGAUGAACGCUGGCGGCAUGCCUAAUACAUGCAAGUCGAACGGAGCCGAUUGGAAGCUUGCUUUUGAGAGGCUCAGUGGCGAACGGGUGAGUAACACGUAGGGAACCUGCCCAGAUCACCGGGAUAACGGUUGGAAACGACAGCUAAGACCGGAUAGGUGAUGGCGAGGCAUCUUGUCAUCAUGAGAAGAGCUACGGCUCUGGAGCUGGAUGGACCUGCGGCGCAUUAGCUGGUUGGUGAGGGUAACGGCCCACCAAGGCAAUGAUGCGUAGCCGGCCUGAGAGGGUGCACGGCCACAUUGGGACUGAGACACGGCCCAA
rnacentral:rRNA from 1 species